UUUAUUAAUGUUAUAUAUGAGUUAGGCAGGCGCACCCAUUUGGCAAAGAGCUCAACAGCAUAAUAACAAGGCCCAUUCAUUAACCUUAAUCAAAAUUCAAACACGAAGACAUUCAUGCUUUCCCAAAGAAAAAACAAAUGAAAAGGAAAACAAAACUGAAAAGAGAAAACACGAAGACAAACAGUUAGUCUGCCAAAUCAGUACCCCAGUUAGUCUACUGUUAAAAAACUAACGGAAUAGUCACGUGAGACACACGUGACUUUUAAAAAACAAACUCAGUCCUGUUAAUUUGAAACCAGAUGGAUUGAAGAAAACAAAGGAGAGUUAGGUCUGGCCGGAGAGAAAAGAGAAAGAGGCAGCCACCGCAGAACGUCACCCAUCAUCUCUUCGCCCGAGUCCCGACGGCGCUUGGUGGUUCUGCCGCUCUGUUUGACAGCCACCACUUGGAUUGUAAUGUAUGUAACUACUUUGAAUGGCACGAUAUUGAAUUCACCCUAAGGAGCAAAAGUGUUAUUAAUGGACUAUUGGACACCAACCGAAGACUUAAGAAUGAAGCAGCAAUGAAUAAGAGGAUUUUUAAGUGGCUUAGUGUUUUUUGGUGGUUUCUUGGAUCAUCAGGGGAUUGCGGUAGCCUUUUAUUUAGUAUUGAGUUUUAAUGUUAGACGUCAUCUUUACAUGAAGUGACUAUUGAUGUAGGAGUGCUAGAAAAAAAAAGGAUUUGUAAUGUAAUAUAUCUAUAUAUUUAGAUUAAAUUUAAAGUAAUAUAUAAAAAUGUUCACAAGUAUGUAAUGUUCAAUUUGAUUUUGGUCUAGUAAGAUUUGGAAAAA